AACACAUGCAAGUCGAGCGCCCCGCAAGGGGAGCGGCAGACGGGUGAGUAACGCGUGGGAACGUGCCCUUUGGUUCGGAACAACUCCGGGAAACUGGAGCUAAUACCGGAUAAGCCCUUCGGGGGAAAGAUUUAUCGCCAAAGGAUCGGCCCGCGUCUGAUUAGCUAGUUGGUGAGGUAAUGGCUCACCAAGGCGACGAUCAGUAGCUGGUCUGAGAGGAUGAUCAGCCACACUGGGACUGAGACACGGCCCAGACUCCUACGGGAGGCAGCAGUGGGGAAUAUUGGACAAUGGGCGCAAGCCUGAUCCAGCCAUGCCGCGUGAGUGAUGAAGGCCUUAGGGUUGUAAAGCUCUUUUGUCCGGGAAGAUAAUGACUGUACCGGAAGAAUAAGCCCCGGCUAACUUCGUG
rnacentral:rRNA from 1 species